GGGGGGAGCCCCGGAUCUUGGGUUGUGUCCCCCAGUGCCCUGUGCUCUGGGGCCUGCACUGCUGGAAUCGCACUUCUGGGGCCGGACAGCCCCCU
rnacentral:pre_miRNA from 1 species